rnacentral:lncRNA from 1 species
AUACGUAAAAUUUAAAAAUAUUCAAGUCCACGCCAUGAGUCUAUCUAAAGGUCUAGAAUCUAGAUGCGAGGGAAUUAAAGUACUAAAUAUAAAAAUAUAGAAAAUAUCAUCCUCUGUAAGUUUAAGUUUUUAAAAAAUAACGAUUAUUUUAUGUAAUUUAAUAUAAUACCAGAGUAAGAAAGUUCUGAGUUUGAGUCCUCAUAUCUUGGGUCUUUUAAAAAGUUUUAAGUCUAGAUGUGAGAUAGAGUACUGUUAAAUAUAAGAGAAAUGAUUCGGUACUUUUUUUAAAAAAAAAUAAAAAAGAUCUUAACCGUUGAUUAAUAAAGGGUAAAAAUGUAACUUUAAUACUUAGCAGGUAAAAGGAUUAUUUUAUUCAAGAUUAGUUUGGUAAUUAAAUAAUACAAUAUUUAAAGAAAUUUUAAUUGAGGUCCUAAAUUUAUGCAUUAAUUAGCACUAAUUUAGGAAAUUAAUUGAUUAACCAAAUUUAUGCAAUUAUUAGGCAUUAAUUUAGGAAUCUACUUUAAAUGUUUUAGUGUUUCUUAAAUUAUGCAUUAAUUUAAAUUAUAGAAAUUUUAGAAAUAGUUUUAUUUCUA